AGGUUCUUAAUCAAUUAUUUCACCAAAUAAUUUUUAACUGUUAAUUUUGCCCCAGACACCUCUUCAGCAGGUGUGUGGCAUCUUUACUGAAAGUCUUGGUUAGGUCCAACUAUUAAUAUAUCAGAAUUUAGUGCAUCUAACAAAUGAAUGACCAAGUUCGAGUGUAGCUUGGCCAACCAAACCAUCGUUAGCAAGAUACAACUAAAUCAACAUAUUAUGAAUGAUAAUUUCGACAGCCAAGAUGAGCACCAGAUGUGUGGAACCUUCAAUGAUUAUCUAAACUGUUGGACCUAUUAUUAUCUAACUUAAUGGGAGGCUAUAAUCUAGUCAUCACCAUAACUAUUUUAUUUUGAAGGACCUAAUAAUUUUAGAAGAUUUAAUUAGAUGAAAUGAAAGAUGAGAAAAGACUUGACCAAUUAUGUUAGGAAAUAUGCCUCA
rnacentral:lncRNA from 1 species